AUACUAAGACAUCAUUUUUUAAUCUCUUUUACAUUCUUCACAAUGGAGAAAACCACUUCCAAGUUCCAAGUUCCAUCGCAUCUCCUUCCUCUGCACUUCAUCUUCUUCCUCGAUCCCAAUCGCAAUCUGAAUCCUUUUCCAGAUUCAGAUUCUCUUCUCAAUUUUGGUUAGCAUUUUUUCUCUUCUCAAUCGCAAUUUGAAUCACUUUGUUCUUCAAUUUCUCAUCUCUUAUUGACUUUGAUCCAGAUCUGAAUCAUGCAUACUUAAUUUCACGCCUCUAUUUCAUUCUCUCGUCACCUGCACUGCCGUUGUGCUGUCCUCUUCUUACCUACGCCAUCGUCUUCUCACUGCGCAGUCAUCUCUCGCCGAUUUCAUCGUUUGCUCAUCCCACGGCUUGUUCCUCAAUUGGAUGCAGAAUAAAUUUAGUGGAAAUCAAGGGAGCA